AUUGAACGCUGGCGGCAGGCUUAACACAUGCAAGUCGAGCGAGCGGCGGACGGGUGAGCUAUGUCUGGGAAUCUGCCUGAUGGAGGGGGAUAACUACUGGAAACUGUAGCUAAUACCGUAUAACAUCAGAAGUGCCCAGAUGGGUUUCGCUAGUAGGUGGGGUAAUGGCUCACCUAGGCGACGAUCCCUAGCUGGUCUGAGAGGAUGACCAGCCACACGGGAACGGAGACACGGGCCAGACUCCUACGGGAGGCAGCAGUGGGGAAUAUUGCACAAUGGGCGCAAGCCUGAUGCAGCCAUGCCGCGGGUGUGAAGAAGGCCUUCGGGUUGUAAAGCACUUUCAGCGAGGAGGCGUUACUCGCAGAAGAAGCACCGGCUAACUCCGUGCCAGCAGCCGCGGUAAUAC
rnacentral:rRNA from 1 species